UACGGAGGGUGCGAGCGUUAAUCGGAAUUACUGGGCGUAAAGCGCGCGUAGGCGGUUUGUUAAGUCAGCUGUGAAAGCCCCGGGCUUAACCUGGGAAUGGCAGUUGAUACUGGCAAGCUAGAGUGUGGUAGAGGGGUGUGGAAUUUCCGGUGUAGCAGUGAAAUGCGUAGAGAUCGGAAGGAACACCAGUGGCGAAGGCGGCACCCUGGACCAACACUGACGCUGAGGUGCGAAAGCGUGGGGAGCAAACAGGAUUAGAAACCCCCGUAGUCC
rnacentral:rRNA from 1 species